GAUGAACGAUGGCGGCGUGCUUAACACAUGCAAGUCGAACGGUGAACACGGAGCUUGCACUGUGGGAUCAGUGGCGAACGGGUGAGUAACACGCGAGCAACCUGCCCCUGACUCUCGGAUCAGCCCUGGAUACGGCGUCUAAUACAGGAUACGAACCGCGAAGGUCUAUUCAGUGGUUGGUAAGAAUGUCGGGUGGGGAUGGGCGCGCGGCUUAUGAGCAUGUGGGUGAGGUUAUGUCACGCCAAGGCGUCGACAGGUAGCCGUCCUGAGAGGGGGACCGGCCACACUGGGAUUGAGAUACGGUCCAGAGUACGACGGAAGGCAGCAGUGGGGAAUAUUGCACAAUGGGCGAAAGUCUGAUGCAGCAAUGCCUCUUGAGGGAUGACGGCCUUCGGGUUUUAAACCUCUAUUAGCAGGGAAGAAGCGAAAGUGACGGUACCAGCAGAAAAAGCGCCGGCUAACUACGUGCCAGCAGCCGCCGUAAGAC
rnacentral:rRNA from 1 species